rnacentral:rRNA from 1 species
UACGGGGGGGGCAAGCGUUGUUCGGAAUUACUGGGCGUAAAGGGCUCGUAGGCGGCCAACUAAGUCAGACGUGAAAUCCCCGAGCUUAACUUGGGAAUUGCGCUCGAAACUAGGGAGCUGGAGUGUGGCAGAGGAAGGUGGAAUUCCACGUGUAGCGGUGAAAUGACGUAGAGAUGUGGAGGAACACCGAUGGCGAAGGCAGCCUCCUGGGCCAACACUGGACACUCAUGCACGAAAGCG